rnacentral:ribozyme from 1 species
GGCGGCAGCAGUCGCCCGCGUAAUGCAGCCUACCGACGGUAGCCAGUUCCAAGCCUGGGAAAAUGCAGAGGACGCG